rnacentral:rRNA from 1 species
UACGGAGGGUGCAAGCAUUAAUCGGAUUUAUUGGGCGUAAAGAGCGUGUAGGCGGCCAAACAGGUCAGCUGUGAAAACUCGAGGCUCAACCUCGAGACGUCGGUUGAAACCGUUUGGCUAGAGUCCGGAAGAGGAGAGUGGAAUUCCCGGUGUAGCGGUGAAAUGCGCAGAUAUCGGGAAGAACACCCGUGGCGAAGGCGGCUCUCUGGGACGGUACUGACGCUGAGACGCGAAAGCGUGGGGAGCGAACAGG